UGUGGUUGCUGUAGGUGUGUGGUUGCUGUAGGUGUGUGGUUGUUGUAGUUGAUCUAGUUGUGUGGUCGAUGUAGUUGUAUGCCAUAGUGCUGAUGUUGGUAUGUGGUUGCUGUAGGUGUGUGGUUGUUGUAGUUGAUCUAGUAGUGUGGUCGAUGUAGUUGUAUGCUGUAGUGCUGAUGUUGGUAUGUGGUUGUUGUAGGUGUGUGGUUGUUGUAGUUGAUCUAGUUGUGUGGUCGAUGUAGUUGUAUGCUGUAGUGCUGAUGUUGGUAUGUGGUUGUUGUAGGUGUGUGGUUGUUGUAGUUGAUCUAGUUGUGUGGUCGAUGUAGUUGUAUGCUAUAGUGCUGAAGUUGGUAUGUGGUUGCUAUAGGUGUGUGGUUGUUGUAGUUGAUCUAGUUGUGUGGUCGAUGUAGUUGUAUGCCAUAGUGCUGAUGUUGGUAUGUGGUUGCUGUAGGUGUGUGGUUGUUGUAGUUGAUCUAGUUGUGUGGUCGAUGUAGUUGUAUGCUGUAGUGCUGAUGUUGGUAUGUGGUUGUUGUAGGUGUGUGGUUGUUGUAGUUGAUCUAGUUGUGUGGUCGAUGUAGUUGUAUGCUGUAGUGCUGAAGUUGGUAUGUGGUUGCUGUAGGUGUGUGGUUGUUGUAGUUGAUCUAGUUGUGUGGUCGAUGUAGUUGUAUGCCAUAGUGCUGAUGUUGGUAUGUGGUUGCUGUAGGUGUGUGGUUGUUGUAGGUGUGUGGUUGUUGUAGUUGAUCUAGUUGUGUGGUCGAUGUAGUUGCAUGCCAUAGUGCUGAUGUUGGUAUGUGGUUGUUGUAGGUGUGUGGUUGUUGUAGUUGAUCUAGUUGUGUGGUCGAUGUAGUUGUAUGCUGUAGUGCUGAAGUUGGUAUGUGGUUGCUGUAGGUGUGUGGUUGUUGUAGUUGAUCUAGUUGUGUGGUCGAUGUAGUUGUAUGCCAUAGUGCUGAUGUUGGUAUGUGGUUGCUGUAGGUGUGUGGUUGUUGUAGGUGUGUGGUUGUUGUAGUUGAUCUAGUUGUGUGGUCGAUGUAGUUGCAUGCCAUAGUGCUGAUGUUGGUAUGUGGUUGUUGUAGGUGUGUGGUUGUUGUAGUUGAUCUAGUUGUGUGGUCGAUGUAGUUGUAUGCUGUAGUGCUGAAGUUGGUAUGUGGUUGCUGUAGGUGUGUGGUUGUUGUAGUUGAUCUAGUUGUGUGGUCGAUGUAGUUGUAUGCCAUAGUGCUGAUGUUGGUAUGUGGUUGCUGUAGGUGUGUGGUUGUUGUAGUUGUGUGGUUGCUGUAGGUGUGUGGUUGCUGUAGGUGUGUGGUUGUUGUAGGUGUGUGGUUGCUGUAGGUGUGUGGUUGUUGUAGGUGUGUGGUUGUUGUAGGUGUGGUUGUUGUAGUUGUGUGGUUGUUGUAGGUGUGGUUGUUGUAGUUGUGUGGUUGCUGUAGGUGUGUGGUUGCUGUAGGUGUGUGGUUGCUGUAGGUGUGGUUGUUGUAGGUGUGUGGUUGCUGUAGGUGUGUGGUUGUUGUAGGUGUGUGGUUGUUGUAGGUGUGGUUGUUGUAGUUGUGUGGUUGUUGUAGGUGUGGUUGUUGUAGUUGUGUGGUUGCUGUAGGUGUGUGGUUGCUGUAGGUGUGUGGUUGCUGUAGGUGUGGUUGUUGUAGUUGUGUGGUUGUUGUAGGUGUGGUUGUUGUAGUUGUGUGGUUGCUGUAGGUGUGUGGUUGCUGUAGGUGUGUGGUUGUUGUAGGUGUGUGGUUGUUGUAGGUGUGUGGUUGUUGUAGGUGUGUGGUUGCUGUAGGUGUGUGGUUGUUGUAG